rnacentral:rRNA from 1 species
AUUGAACGCUGGCGGCAGGCCUAACACAUGCAAGUCGAACGAGUGGCGGACGGGUGAGUAAUGUCUGGGAAACUGCCUGAUGGAGGGGGAUAACUACUGGAAACGGUAGCUAAUACCGCUUAACAUCGGCUGUGCCCAUAUGGGAUGAGCUCGUAGGCGGGGUAAAGGCUCACCUAGGCCACGAUCCCUAGCUGGUCUGAGAGGGUGACCAGCCACACUGGAACUGAGACACGGUCCAGACUCCUACGGGAGGCAGCAGUGGGGAAUAUUGCGCAAUGGGCGAAAGCCUGAUGGAGCCAUGCCGCGUGUAUGAAGAAGGCCUUCGGGUUGUAAAGUUCUUUCAGCGGGGAGGCGUUACCCACAGAGGAAGCACCGGCUAACUCCGUGCCAGCAGCCGCGGUAAUUC